AUUGAACGCUGGCGGCAGGCCUAACACAUGCAAGUCGAGCGGAUGAAGGGAGCUUGCUCCUGGAUUCAGAGGCGGACGGGUGAGUAAUGCCUAGGAAUCUGCCUGGUAGUGGGGGAUAACGUCCGGAAACGGGCGCUAAUACCGCAUACGUCCUGAGGGAGAAAGUGGGGGAUCUUCGGACCUCACGCUAUCAGAUGAGCCUAGGUCGGAUUAGCUAGUUGGUGGGGUAAAGGCCUACCAAGGCGACGAUCCGUAACUGGUCUGAGAGGAUGAUCAGUCACACUGGAACUGAGACACGGUCCAGACUCCUACGGGAGGCAGCAGUGGGGAAUAUUGGACAAUGGGCGAAAGCCUGAUCCAGCCAUGCCGCGUGUGUGAAGAAGGUCUUCGGAUUGUAAAGCACUUUAAGUUGGGAGGAAGGGCAGUAAGUUAAUACCUUGCUGUUUUGACGUUACCAACAGAAUAAGCACCGGCUAACUUCGU
rnacentral:rRNA from 1 species